UUAUAUACAUAUUCACGUUAUUGUACACACAUAUGCAGUUGUCUCCCCUUACCCACAGGAAAUAUGUUCUAAGACUCCCAGUAGAUGCCUGAAACCAUGGAUAGUACCAAAUCUACAUAUAGUAUAUUUUUUCCUAUGCAUACAUACCUAUAAUAAAGUUUAAUUUAUAAAUUAGGCAUAGUAAGAGAUUAAUAAUAAUAACUAAUAAUAAAAUGGAAUAAUUAUACCAAUAUAUACCAUAAUAGCAGUUAUGUGAAUGUGGUCUCUCUGCCGCUCUCAAACUAUCUUACUGUACUAUGCUCACCUUUCUUUCUGGGAUGAGGUGAGAUGAUAAAAUGCCUAUGUGAUGAGAGGAAGUGAGGUGAAUGAUGUAGACAUUGUGAUGUAGCAUUAGGCUACUAUCAACCUUCUGAUGAUUUCUCAGAAAGAUGAUCACCUGCUUCCAGACUGUGGUUGACUGUAGGUAAGUGAAACCACAGAAAGUGAAAUUGUGGAUAAGGGAGGACUACUGUAAGUGUACACACACACACACACACACACACACACACAGGUAACAGACUAAGAACUAGGAUAUAGAGUUCUACGUGAAAUUUUGUCCUUGAAAAGCAGUUUGGCCUUAUGUGUGACACCCAAAUACUUUGGGCUUAAAUGUUAUCAUCUGUACAAAUAAAAGGAUGAGGAAAGUUUUAUAUUUCUUCAGACUUAAGAUUAUGUGGAUCUAUAAAAAUAAACAAUGGAGAUAAGACUAAGGCUUAUCAACCAACCGCCAAAUGUUGUAAACAGAUUUUCAAAAACAAGAGAUGUUCACAAUGUCAGAAAUGGAACACAGAAAUCAUCUUGAUUAUAUCUAAGAUCAGAACCAGAUGGCUGACAACUCCCUCCUGAGUUGUUCAUGGUAGGCAGCUCUGGAUCACAUGUACCAUUAGCUCUAUCAUGGUCCUGCCGGCCACCACAUCUGUUGUUAUUUCAGUUACUAUUAGAGUAAUAGGUAUAGAGUUUAUGGAAUAAAUAAACUUUUUCAAUGAAGGAACA
rnacentral:lncRNA from 1 species